AGGAUACAGACUGUCUCAGACGGCCCUGGGCACACUGAGGAUACAGACUGUCUCAGACGGCCCUGGGCACACUGUGUGUGUGUUCCUGUUCUUGUUUCUCUGACACCCCUCUAGCCAGACCGCUAGCAGACGAAGGUAGACAGAGAUAGUUUUGUAUGACAGGCAACGUAUGACUGUCACUUUGUCAGAUGAUGGACUGGUGUGAUGGGCUUAGAUGAUUCCUCUUGUUUUAAUUUGAUUUAUAAACCAAAUGCUUUUAUUUUCUCUUUGUUUGUUGAAAGUGUGUGUCCAUCUGCACUUUUAGUCACAGUUUUACAGGCUGGGUAGAAGGCUGGCUCUGAAACACAUGACUAAAAAUGGAUCUUCUCUAGGAUUGAAGUUGUGAGCUGCCGUUUCCAACAAUUGUCAAAGGACGUGCAUGAGGUAGAAUGUGACGUUAUUGAUAACACGUCCAAUACCAGAGCUGAUGUAAAGAUCUUUACAUACUCUGUGGCUAUGUCUAGGUUGAGGACUGUAUAGUGACAGACAGCAGUCCAGCCACUCUGCAGACCAGGCUCCAAGCCUCCCAACCCCUGUCAUGGGGGACUCAGGGCCCAGAUUACCCGCUUCACCGAUGGGCUCUGGGAGUAGACAAGACUUGGUGGAGUGGACAGUAAUACCAGGAAAUAUGACGCGCUCUGUUAGGAUAUCGAUUGAUGAUAAUUGAAAUAACCCUGACUGUGAGUGUGAAUCUUUCAAGUGUGUGUGUGUGUGCGCGAAAGAGAGGGAGUGAGUGUGUGUUACUCUGCGACAGAGAAUAGCCAUGUUUCCUAUGUUUCUGCCUCUCAGCCUCUGUUAGAACAGCACAGCUCCCCAGAGACAAGCAGGAGAGUCAGGAACCCCAAUUAAUUGUAAUUGGCACCGCUGUAAGCAUAACUAUUGUUGCUCCGUUCCACUAAUGAAGCACGGCUCUCUCGGCCCCCAUGUAUUUCCUCCACUAGAAUCUAUAGAAUUGACUCAGGGAGGAAGGAACCGCUGCUGGUCUGGCUGUUCUGGGUAGUACAACACUGCCACACUGUGGCCAAGUGGGGAAUUGCUCUGUUGGUUUAAUGUCUGCAUGCAUUCAUUCAUGUCUCUAGUUUCAGUAGUUGUUAAUCUCAGGAAGAAAAAUGUUCGCAGCUUGAAUGUGACUGGAGCCCUGUAUUAGAUGUAUUUCCAAGUAACACUACAAGGUAGCAGUGAUACCUUCUGUUUGGUGUCACUGCGUGUCACAGGAAUCUCCCCAUUAAUCACUUGUAGUUUUAUAUUGCACUUUCUUUUUGACACUUGUGUGAUGAAUCUCUGUUUUAUACACCUGCAAUAGUCCAUAUUUACUCCUGUAGUACUCCUUGUUCCAUUUUCUCUCCUGUAAUAGUCCUUGUUCUGUUUUCUCUCCUGUAAUAGUCCUUGUUCCGUUUUCUCUCCUGUAAUAGUCCUUGUUCCGUUUUCUCUCCUGUAAUAGUCCCUGUUCUGUUAUCUCUCCUGUAAUAGUCCUUGUUCUGUUUUCUCUCCUGUAAUAGUCCUUGUUCCGUUUUCUCUCCUGCUCGUCUAAUAGUUGCAGGUUGAUGUUUAUUUUCAUGAAUCUUGCCCAGGAGGCAGAACUGACCCAUUUCCACUAGAUGGGCCAGCUGCAAAGUUAAAAUUGGCCAUAUUGUAAAAAUGUAUGAAAACCACAAUGUGCUUUUUGGAUGUAAUUUAAGAUCAGGAUUAGGCUUAACAGUGUGGUUAGGGUUAUGUUUAAAAUAAGAUUGUUUGAAUUUGUGGCUGUGCCAGCUAGUGACCACUCUGCAGAGUUGCCUCCAGGGCAAGAUUCAUGACAAUAAAAUGCCAACCUGCUUAAUAAUCCAUGUUCUAUGUUCUCUGCUACUCGUGUAAUAGUCCAUGUUCUGGGUUCUAUGUUCUCUGCUACUCGUGUAAUAGUCCAUGUUCUGGGUUCUAUGUUCUCUGCUACUCGUUUAAUAGUCCAUGUUCUGGGUUCUAUGUUCUCUGCUACUCGUGUAAUAGUCCAUGUUCUGGGUUCUAUGUUCUCUGCUACUCAUGUAAUAGUCCAUGUUCUGGGUUCUAUGUUCUCUGCUACUCGUGUAAUAGUCCAUGUUCUACAUUCUAACCUACUUAACAGUCCCUUUUCUGUGUUUUAAUGUAAUUGUCCAUGUUCUGUGUUCUCUCCUAGUCAUGUAAUAGAACAUGUUCUAUUCGUGUAAUAGUCUGUUUUGUCUGUGAGCUCCCUCUCAGGUAAUGGAGGCCCUGCAUAUGAAAUGACAUGCUAAUGAGGGCCCUCUUAUCUUGUCGGGGGGCCAAAUUCCGACAGUGAAUUGCGACAGUUGUAACAAAAGUAACAGAGCGUCUAUUCAGCCUGCACUAAUCCAGAUGGGAAAGUCAAACAGCAGAAAGUCCGCCGCACAAACUCAUUUCAUCACGUUAUUCAUUUAGAUAUUGCCUUGCCGCUGCUGAGGAGGAAGGGGAAAGAAGAGCCCUCUGAAAUGACCAACAUGGCUGAGGUGUUUUGCUCUACAUGGUUCCUCCACUCCCUCUCCCCUCUUAUCGCCUUAAUUCAUCCCGCCAAUCUGGGCUGUCUUUACCCACUAAAUUUCCCUUUGACACGCAUGCCUUCUCUCGCAUAAUCCUCCCUCCCGGGCAGAAUUAAAAAUUGAGAAAAAGAGGAGGGAAUAGGAAGGGACAGGACAGGUGGCUGGAGAAUCCUUGAAAUAAUGCCACAGACAGACAGACAGACAGAGCAAUGAUUUGACCAGAUUCAAACAGGGGCUGAUAGAGUUUUUAUGGAGAGGAAAAGGUGACAGGUGAAAAUGUGUGGAGACAGAGAAGUCCCUAAAGAGCCAGGUUAUAAGAGUCCCUUCUAAAUUGUGGGGCGAGAAUGACUUCAUGUGUGGAAAUAGUGGCAAGGAAGAUGAUAGAAUGUCUGAUUUGAGAGAAAAAAAUGGUCUGUGAAAGGCUGAAAUUGAGAAAGGUAGCAGCAACUAUUUUCCUGUCUGCUGCCACCAUUAAACUGUUGUCUAUUUGUGACUUCUUCCUAACGGCCAUGCUACCAUGCAGCCAUUAGGGGUACGGCGUUGCCAUCAGCCAUUUUGGUUGGUUGCUGUGUAGCAGGUAGAACGUCCCAUUGACGGCACGUGCAUUGUUGCUGAAGUUUAAGACUGGAAGACUGUUAAUGUUUGUAUCUCCAAAUACCUGAGGACUAAUCAGGUUACAGCCUCGUCUAGACAUCAGGUUACAGCGUCGUCUAGACAUCAGGUUACAGCGUCGUCUAGACAUCAGGUUACAGCGUCGUCUAGACAUCAGGUUACAGCGUCGUCUCGACAUCAGGUUACAGCCUCGUCUCGACAUCAGGUUACAACUUCGUCUAGACAUCGUGUUACAGCCUCGUCUAGACAUCGGGUUACAGCCUCGUCUAGACAUCGGGUUACAGCAGUCCUUCUCAAAUAGUGGGGUGCACCCCCCUGGGGGGUGUGACCCCGGGGAACAUGCUUUUUUUUGCCGCAGGGAGUAGUUUUUUUUUGCACCAAACAAGAGCACACAGCAGGAUAUAUG